rnacentral:rRNA from 1 species
UAACACCGGCAGCUCUAGUGGUAGCAGUUUUUAUUGGGCCUAAAGCGUCCGUAGCCGGUUUAAUAAGUCUCUGGUGAAAUCCUGCAGCUUAACUGUGGGAAUUGCUGGAGAUACUAUUAGACUUGAGAUCGGGAGAGGUUAGAGGUACUCCCAGGGUAGAGGUGAAAUUCUGUAAUCCUGGGAGGACCGCCUGUUGCGAAGGCGUCUGACUGGAACGAUUCUGACGGUGAGGGACGAAAGCUAGGGGCGCGAACCGGAUUAGAUACCCGGGUAGUCCUAGCUGUAAACGAUGCGGACUUGGUGUUGGGGUGGCUUUGAGCUGUCCCAGUGCCGAAGGGAAGCUGUUAAGUCCGCCGCCUGGGAAGUACGGUCGCAAGACUGAA